UGCCCGGUGGUGUAAUGGUAACACACCAGCCUUUGGAGCUGAGGUUCCUGGUUCGAAUCCAGGCUGGGCAA
rnacentral:tRNA from 1 species